rnacentral:lncRNA from 1 species
AACAACUUCAACAGAGGCUGUUACCAUGUUUUCAUGCUUCAGCAUUUUUUCACUAAAAAUGGCAGUAGUAGCAUAAGGCAUGAUGUAGUUCUGCAGGGAUUUGGAAGACAGCACAAGUUUCUUCUCGGUCAGCUGCUUAGCCAGUCUCCUCAGAGCUCGUGCCCUCCUGUGGAUCUGCAUGUGUUUCAUGUUCUCAAAGAAGUCC